rnacentral:rRNA from 1 species
GAGUUUGAUCCUGGCUCAGAUUGAACGCUGGCGGCAUGCCUAACACAUGCAAGUCGCGCGGAGUGUAGCAAUACACUUAGCGGCGGACGGGUGAGGAAUACAUAGGAAUUUGCCUUUAGGUGGGGGAUAGCCCAGGGAAACUUGGAGUAAUACCGCAUGAUGUCGUGAGACCAAAGCCGGGGACCGCAAGGCCUGGCGCCUUUAGAGAAGCCUAUGUCUGAUUAGCUAGUUGGUGAGGUAAUGGCUCACCAAGGCAACGAUCAGUAGCUGGUCUGAGAGGACGAUCAGCCACACCGGAACUGAGACACGGUCCGGACUCCUACGGGAGGCAGCAGUGGGGAAUAUUGGACAAUGGGCGCAAGCCUGAUCCAGCAAUGCCGCGUGUGUGAAGAAGGCCUUCGGUUGUAAG